ACAACCUGUCAACCCAGCCGCGGACAGCGAAGGAAGUCAUACCCCAAAGAAUCACAUUAUAUACAGGGCUCAGAACUUUGACAAUCAUAGACCCUGUCAUAACAUCAAACUGAACUGAUGAGGCAGAAUAUAUCUUACGGAAUGUUUCAACAAGCGAAAAGUCGAAGAAUGUGUUGACUCAGUGCUUAAUCUGAUUGCACCAGGGCAAUCAGAGAAAUUAAAACAAUUGAUUAUGUUAGGACCUAAAACAACUCCAACAGAUUAAGAGCUUACAAACUACAUGUAUAUGAGGAAAUAACUAACAUAGAACUUCACACUCAAAUUUUUUCAAUGUCAAAAAACUAUGUUAAUAUAUAUAACAGUAAUAAGAUGUACAUGUAUAACUAAUUUAUGUAGAAGUUAAGUGCAUAUAUGUAUGUCCCUUUCUCACUGAUUGUCCAUUAUACAUGUAUAGAAAGAAGAUAGAAAUUUUAUAUCUCAUUACUUCAAGAAAAAUUAUGUGUAAUUAGCAUUAAGAAAGACAAAUUUAGCUGCAUGGUUAAUAACCAAGGAAGACAGAACAAUAACUAAUGAUUAAGUUAAUUGAAUUUAUAAUAUAAAAAAAGAAUCUCAGAAUGCUAUGAUAUUUAUAUAAUAAGAUAACUAGUGAAAUACUAUGUACUUAUCAUGAUAUACUAGUAUCAUGAUUUCAUCUUUAAUUACUAAUAUUUGUAUUUAUGUAAUUACCAUGAUGGUAGCUACAUUAUUUGGACUACAGUGUUUUCCCCAGAAAAUGUUUGAUGCAUGGGAUGGAAAUUUGUCAGAGUAGGUGCACGGUGCAGCGUUAAAGGGCCCACAACGGGGCAAAAUCACUUUGGGUAAAAAUAAUAUAACCAUUUGAUGAAAUGUACUGCAUGAUAUGCACUAUAAUUGAUGCAUUUUCAUGAAAUUCAUAUUUUGUAUUUAUGUAAUUGCCAUGAUGGUAGCUACAUUUUUGGACUACAUAUACAUGUAUAUAGGAAUAUUCUAAUAGCAUAAAUUUGUAUACACAGCAUUUACCCAACUGCUGCACAUUCAUAUAAAUGUAUGCACUAUUUUUAUCCCCCCUUCGAAGAAGGCGGCCAGUCCACCAACAGUUACCAUUCAUUUUCUUCGCAGGGGUUCCACAUUUUUUGAAAUGAAAUUUGGUAUACAGAUUUAUCUGAAUAAGAUCUAGGCAAAGUUAUUCUUUGGGUAUGAUUGAGCAUUUUAUGACCUUGGAAUUAAAAAAAUCCAAUUAUUUGCAUUUUCUUCUCAGAUGUUUCCAAAGGAGGUGGCAUAAUUGUUUCACAAACAUGUCUUGUUUGUGUGCAAUCGUUCACUUAGGAUUUUCUUUUUAAAAAAUUGUAAACUUUUAGCCUUUCCAGGGUCCAAAUUGAGGGAAAAAAAUCAAUAUGUAAUCUAUUGGUUGAUGUUUGAUAUAGCCAUCUAUAGUAUGUGUGAUACAUUUUGACAUGUAUGGUGUCAUGUAUAUCGAGUUAUUCAUGUACAACUUGUUUAUUAUAUGUAUGACUGGAAGUCAGUUUAAUAAAGUACUUGUUAUGGUGUCACACAUGUUUUCUACAUAUGGUUGUUUUUAUUAAGUAUACUACCUUGUAGUAUAUUUGAAUAAAUAUCUAAAAAUGUAUAUCUAUAUCUAUAUAUAUAUAAAGGGAGUGAAAAAUGCU
rnacentral:sRNA from 1 species